CAAACAGCCAGUUGUGUCAGAUUUUUCCACAGCAUCUCCUUGUCAACUCAAGCAACAAAGGCAGAGCUGGAAGCUUGUGAAAGAAACUUCUUUUGUAGUGACUCAUCAACAAGGAUGAGAGAGAAGCAACAUCAAAAGGCAAUGUGAGCUAUUUAACCAAGCCAGAAGCAUAUCCUGGAGUUCCUAAGCCUUAAACACAUGGAGUGAAGUGGAGUGGGAAAGAACAUGGGGCCAGCAUGUGCAAGAAUCUACCAACACGAACAGUUGCCUGGGCAGUUUCCAGGUAGAAGGUCUGUGCACACCUUCAGAUCUCACCAGAGCUCAGCUCCAGGGUAUUAUGGGCUUUCUGACAUGGAUGCCGGUUUAUCUGGAAAAUCAUCUCUCUGGAGUUUGCAUAGCUGAUGUCUUUCACAUUUUAGAUGGCUGUUUGAGAAGGUUUUUCUGCUCGAUACUCUCUCUAAAUGCUCCCCUCUAUAUCCAUCUCCAUGUUGAAUCCAGCUUUACUUUAUCACUUUUUUUUGUAAUUAAUUAAUUAAUGAGUUACAUCAUGUGUGUCUCUGCACCAGUACACAGUUAUCAGCAAAGCUUAAAACAGAUGUCUGGUACCUGGUACUCAAUAUUAUGUUUGAAUGAAUAAAUAAUAUGAAGGGCAUUUCCAAAGCAUAUGGUAAUGCAUUGGGCACAAACUACAUGUGUUGUGAAUUACAAAUUUAAAAUUCACUCAACUUGUAACUCAUUGUAUGACCAGAAAAAAUUAUAAUGAUACUGUACUUGAAUAGAAUGACUUCAAAUACAAAUCUUAGUAUGCCAGUGGUAGAGAAGAGUUCACUGAUGAAUUCUUUGCUUAUAUUCACUCCUUUACCAUUGAGUUAUACCCAGGCUUCCUCAUAUUCAUACAGAUAGAUACCUUUCAUGCUUAGGCUUUGGCAACCCUGGCCCAUUGGUUAAGUCUGAUCACAGGCUAUGGCAAUUGGUUGAGCACAGCUUUAGUGCUGGAACAAACUAUAGUGCUCAGAUUAUGCUCAAGGCCAAAGGAAAUUCUAGCUAGGCUCUCCGACUUUUCCCAAUUUGUGUAGACACUUCAGGGAUUUCACAUUGGAGACAUUUGAAGAACAAUGUAUAAAGCCUGAAAAAAAAUCUAUUUUUAUAGCUAAAGAAGAAUGAUUAUAUUUUCAGCAAUGUGAGCCUGUGAAUGACAUUGCCUCUCUUGUGCCCUGUUUAAAUGCUUGUUGGCCCCAACAUGCAGACAGAGGCUACUCUGUUCAUUUGAAUUUCUGGAGGACAGCAAUGGCCUAGAUUUCCUCCUAUUGCACAUUCUACCUGAAGAAGUCAUUUUAGGUGUUUUCCCCUUGAGCCCUGUGUAUAAUUAGACACAUACCAGACUGAGACAGGGCAAAGGAAGGAGUAGGGAGGGGAAAAAGAAAAGAAAAGAAGAAAGAAAUUUGACCUGGCCUCUUGCUAACUCUGGAAACCAAAUGUAUUUGUUUCUUUGAAAAAAGUGUCUCCCGAGUCCUUGGCAGAAUGCUCAAAGUAGCCUUUAUGUAAGUGCUGGGAGCUCUCUUUAGUCCAAGGCCCAAGGACUGCAGUUCAGUGUGUGCAAGAUCAAACACUGGUGCAGCAGAGAAGCUGUGAGGUCCAGCAAGUCACCUGGGGGGGCUGCCGGGCUGGGGGAGCUUUUCAUGCUUUGAAAGACAUUGAAGUACCACUGCCUGGAGACUGCGAGUGUUUAAGGAGCCUCUCGGGAAGUGCCUUUCCGUGCAGAAAGACACAAGUAAGACGUAAAAUAAGGGCCAUUCCUUCAGUGAGGUCCUGGUUUUACCUCUGUCACAACCCUUCACGUCCGAGGAAAAUAAACUCGGAUAAAACGUGAAAUCCUACAACUUCAAGAUGAGAGCUUCACUCUGGCAUCGGCGCUUUGGCUUCGUGUCCUUUGGCUCAUAACGUAUUUAUAGACUGCUGCUACUUAGAUGAAGGUGCUGGAAAGCAAAACCUGAAUAUCACACACACACACAGGGACUCUAGUCUCUUUUAAAAAUGGCUGACUGACCAAUGCUGUCUCGGCCCAGCCAUGGAG